AACGUACGCUGGCGGCACGCCUAACACAUGCAAGUCGAACGAAGUAGCAAUACUUAGUGGCAGACGGGUGAGUAACAUGUAGGUAUCUGCCCUUUGGCCUGGAAUAACACGAGGAAACUUGUGCUAAUACCGGAUAAGUCUUUACGGAGAAAGCUUUAUGCACCAUUGGAUGAGCCUGCACUUGAUUAGUUUGUUGGUGGGGUAAUGGCCUACCAAGACUGUGAUCAAUAGCUGAUUUGAGAGGAUGAUCAGCCACAUUGGGACUGAGACACGGCCCAAACUCCUACGGGAGGCAGCAGUGGGGAAUCUUGCACAAUGGAGGAAACUCUGAUGCAGCGAUGCCGCGUGAGUGAAGAAGGCCCUUGGGUUGUAAAGCUCUUUCGUCGGGGAAGAAAAUGACUGUACCCGAAUAAGAAGGUCCGGCUAACUUCGUGCCAGCAGCCGCGGUAAUACGAAGGGACCUAGCGUAGUUCGGAAUUACUGGGCUUAAAGAGUUCGUAGGUGGUUGAAAAAGUUAGUGGUGAAAUCCCAGAGCUUAACUCUGGAACUGCCAUUAAAACUUUUCAGCUAGAGUAUGAUAGAGGAAAGCAGAAUUUCUAGUGUAGAGGUGAAAUUCGUAGAUAUUAGAAAGAAUACCAAUUGCGAGGGCAGCUUUCUGGAUCAUUACUGACACUGAGGAACGAAAGCAUGGGUAGCGAAGAGGAUUGGAUACCCUCGUAGUCCAUGCCGUAAACGAUGUGUGUUAGACGUUGGAAAUUUAUUUUCAGUGUCGCAGGGAAACCGAUAAACACACCGCCUGGGGAGUACGACCGCAAGGUUAAAACUCAAAUGAAUUGACGGGGACCCGCACAAGUAGUGGAGCAUGUGGUUUAAUUCGAAGAUACGCGCAGAACCUUACCAACACUUGACAUGUUCGUCGCGACUCUAAGAGAUUAGAGUUUUCGGUUCGGCCGGACGAAACACAGGUGCUGCAUGGCUGUCGUCAGCUCGUGUCGUGAGAUGUUGGGUUAAGUCCCGCAACGAGCGCAACCCUCACUUUUAGUUGCCAUCAUUAAGUUGGGCACUCUGAAAGAACUGCCAGUGAUAAGCUGGAGGAAGGUGGGGAUGACGUCAAGUCCUCAUGGCCCUUACGUGUUGGGCUACACACGUGCUACAAUGGUAUCUACAACAGGAAGCAAGACUGCGAAGUUAAGCAAAUCCCUAAAAGAUACCUCAGUUCGGAUUGCACUCUGCAACUCGAGUGCAUGAAGCUGGAAUUACUAGUAAUCGUGGAUCAGCGUGCCACGGUGAAUGCGUUCCCGGGUCU
rnacentral:rRNA from 1 species